rnacentral:rRNA from 1 species
GUGAAGUGUGGGCGUGGAGGUCGGUGAAUACAGGGGGUGCGAGCGUGAUUCGGAGUUACGGGGCGUAAGGGGUGGGUAGACGGUAGGGUAAGUGAUAUGUGAAAGCGCCGGGCUCAACUGGGGAAUUGCAUUUGAGACUGCGCUGCUCGGGUGCGGAAGAGGGAAGCGGAAUUUCCGGUGUAGCGGUGAAAUGCGUAGAUAUCGGAAGGAACACCAGUGGCGAAAGCGGCUUCCUGGUCCGACACCGACGUUCAGGCACGAAAGCGUGGGGAGCAAACAGGAUUAGAUACCCCUGUAGUC